rnacentral:lncRNA from 1 species
UUUUUUUUUUUUUUUUACUUAACCAUAUGAGGAAAAACAGAGUUAUCUUUCUCUUCUUUCCAUUGAGAAUCGUGUUAUAAACUUGUCAUCAUAUUGAAAAGGCAAUCAGAAUAUACACCAAAAUAAUGGAGAAAGAAAUAUAUAAAUAUUACAAUAUUUUUUCUGGAUUCAAAAAUUUAUAAUUGUGAUUUUUAAAAUUCAUUCUUAACACAUAUUUACUUUUUCUUUGGAGGCAGUAAUGCAGUGUAACAUUUAUUAAGUACUUCUGUGUCAGACACUUAGUUUUGCUUAUUUUUAGAAUUUAUUUUUUAAUUUACCUAUUUUUGGGGUGUACUAUUCUGUGAGUUUGACAGGUGCUUUUGUAUCUAAUUUUGUAUUUACUUUUUUUUAAAAGGGAAAAGGGGGGGGGGAAGGUGAGUGGGGCAGAGGAGAGGGAGAGAGAGAAUCUCAAGCAGACUCCACACCCAGGGCACAGCCUGAUGUGGGGCUUGAUCCCAUGACCCUUAAUCAUGAUCUCAGCUGAAAUUAAGAAUCAGGUGCUUAACCUACUGAGCCACCCAGCUACCAUAUAAUUUUUUAUUUACUUUUAUAUCUAAUUUUAUAUUUAUAAUUUUGUAUUUUUUAAAAGAGGGGCCUGGGCAUCAGUGCAGCCAGUGUUGAGAACCACUGCUUUGGGACGUUGUCACAGAACCCCAGGUAAGAUAUGCUGGCCAUCUGGAUGAAGAGAAUGGCAAUAGAGAGGAAUUUGAGAUUUAUUUGGAGACAGAAUAGACACACGUGGCUGAAUGUGGGAAGAGGAUGAAUGGGAAGAAUCAAGGAUCACGCCCAGGUUUCUGGCUUGAACAACUCUUAGCAAUGGUCCUCAAACUCCACCAUGCUCCAGAAUCCCCGGAAGACUUGUUAGAACACAGAUUGCUAGACACCACCCCCAGAGUUUCUGAUUCAGUAUGUCUGCAUGCAGGGCUUGAGAAUUUGCAUUUUUAAUAGUUUCCCAGGAGAUACUGUUGGUCCAGGAACCACAUUUUAGUCUAACAGUAGAGCUUUUAAAACUUCUGAUCAAGCCAAAUACCAGUGAAUUAAUUCAGAAUCUCUGGGCAUGGGAUCCAAGUAUCAGGCUUUGGAAUCACUUGGGAACUUGUUUAAUAUAUUCAUAUAUCUGGAAAAUCCCCAGAUUCUGAUUCUAAUUGGUCUGUAGUAGGGCUUGGACACAUAUACUUUCACAGCUCUACAGGGGAUUCUCUAAUCACAUGUCACCACCCUUGGGAGUCACAGAACUAGGUGGAUGGUGAUGUCAUGUGCUGAGGUAACUACAGGUGUUCUCUCUAACACUCUACCAUAGUUUCAGAGGUCAUCUACUUCAGAGGAGCUUGCUGUCAUCAUCCUGGGCAUGUGAGACACUUAAAACUUCUGGACUAACAGGAGCUUCCUCAUUUUCCUUUCAUGCUAUAAAGUCAUAAUGAUAUAUGAUAUCCAGGGAGCUAGCUGUUAAUUCAGUCCUUGUAAGAAUACAACAGAAAGUGUCAUUAUUUAGGAAUGGCUACUCCUUAUUGUAUCCUCAGUGCCUAGCACAGUGCCUAAUCCAUAGAAAGCAUUAAAUACCUGUUUAUUGACUAAAUGAACUACUUUAUGAAAAUGAGAAAUAUAUAAAAAAUAAAAAAAACAGAAGUUUUAGAACUUUAAAUAUGAGUAGUAUCCAUUGAGUUCACUAGGUCUCAAUGCUGGUUGUAAAACAGGAUUUUGAUAUGGGUCCACUUGCAACACACCAAGAUAAACUGACAUUGACCUGACAGCUUCCAGGCCAUGAGGAAGCAAAACUGUGAAUGCACAGCCCUUGAGGAGUUGCAGGGGGAGUCUUGUCAGGGAGAACAUGUCCUAGAGAUACCUCCAGUAUAAGUGGUCAGGUUCCACAUGCUCCUGUGUCCUCCAUCAGCAUAUUCUUAUGAUGUAGCCAAUGAAUUCACCACCAUGAUCCAUGUUACGCAAGAAAUGUCACUUCUCUUUAUCUUCUUAAUUUCUACUGUGAGCUGGCAACCUUCCUAGCCAAUGGGAAACUCUAUAUUAUCUUUACUGGAAGGCAUUCUCCUCCUCUGACCCACCCUGGAGGGAUGUGUAGGGUAUUAGGAGGAGUUAAAUAUUUGGAGCCGUCCAUUCUGGUUUUAGCCUAUCCUCUUUACCUGUAAUAAGUCCAUAGGGUGCCUUGAAAUUGGGAAGCUCAACUUCCAUCCAGUGCCUAGACAUGAAAAUUUUCACUGGGUCUGCAAGUGACCAAGGCCCAGUCUUCCUGGGUGCACCAUAUAGUCAUUUCCCCAAAAGUCCUGCCUAGUCUUCUGUGCUCUGUUGGGACAUGGGUUAAUAAUUCUACUACUGAGGAUCCCAUCUUUUUCUUUUUGUGGUGGAAUCUCUCUCCUGUGUUUCCUCCUUAUACUCACCACCUUCGAGCACUCACCAAUCUCCCUCCACUAGGAUGCCUAGAAUCAUCUUUGUAAUCUCAGGAUUUCACAAAAAUCAGGGAAGGGUACUGUCUUUCAGGAGCUUUGACUCUGCUCUGAAAACCCUUUGAAGACAGAGAAAACAAAGGGCUAGCUACCUUCUCAGACAUGGAGAUGUUCAGAUUCCAAAGCACAAAACACACUACUGUUCUUGUACUUCUUCAUUUUGUUAAUAUCUCAAUAAAUUAUCCUGCCACAAUGGUAAGUUGGAAUAGGAUGCAUCUCCGAGCAUCAAACCAUUCUGGAUGUCAAUGUGGUGUAAGUCCCAGGGCUUCUGUGGCUAUAGUGGAGGUAGUUCCCUAAUCCCCUUGGCUGUGUCAGUAAGGGAAUCUCCACUGAUUAGGAACACUUGCAAACACAACAAUAAAAAAACCUUGCAAGUGAAUGUCUGCACAGCUCUGUGGAAUGUUCCAGAACAUUUCUCUUAGCAUUAAAUUGGCAUUUCAUCUGAACAUCUACUAGAAUUGUUCCUAUUCAAAGGCAGUACAAUCUAAUUCUCUCUGCAAAACAGGCUAGAUUAUACUAAUGAAUCUCUUUAGAGGGAAGAUUUAUCCUAAUUUCAAUGUCAUUAGUAAAUCUGGGCUAAAUAAACACUUACUGUCUGCUGGGUGCCAGGUGCUGAGAACUGAAGGAGAGAAAGAUCCUUAAAAACUCAGUUAAGAGGGAAAUAGCAACAAACUUCUAUAAUAUGAGGUUAUAAAAUAUGAAUGAAAGGCUCUAAAAGCAUGACAGAAAAGCCAAUAGAAAAUUCAUAGAAGAAAUGACAUUUGAUCUGGGUUCUGAAGGACACAUGAAUAUUUUUCAGGUGGGGGUAAGAGACAGGGCAUUCCAGAAAGAAGAAUGUCCAGAGCAAAGGGACAGGGGCAGAGCUUUGCAGACUCCCAUGUAGUGGUGCACACCCGCACACAUGCUCACGAGUGUGUUCACUAAUGCAUGCAUAGGAAAUGGAGUAGGAGCUGGUUGGAGUUGAUUUUGAGGAGGAGAGCAAGAAAUACUAGAAGUUUCUUUAAAUCUAACCUAGUUUUAUAACUAACACGUUAAUCUCUUGUAUUAACCUCUUAGAUACUACUAGUACUACUGGGACUACCACAGAGAUCACAUUUGUUGCACUCUUACUAGGUCCCAAGCUGAAUGUAUUUUGAGGAUUGGCUCAUUUCAUCUCCAGGUCUUUAUGAGUCCAUUCUCCUAUUAUCCUCAUUGACAAAUGUUCUCCAUCUUUUCACAUCUAGAUAUCACAUCUUUCUGUGUAACUGCCUUAUUUCUUAAGAGUCAUAGAGUUAAAAAAAUAGUUUUUAAAGAAGGUUAAAGGCUCUGCUCUGAAGCCAUCUGAAGUCACCCAGCACAGUGUCCACUUAAAUCUGUUGCUAUACCACAGGAGGUUUUGACCUUACCAUGUUGACUCUUCUGUUUUGACCAUAAGGAUUCUUGCUCCUGCUUUUAAAAAAAAAAAAAAAAAAAA